UGCAACCUCACAGGGCUGGGCCUUCAACGUCAGCACUAUGGCUCUCUCCGGUCGCUCUCUCCUCCACCGCGCAGUCUGCGAACAGCACUUUCUACACUCCGCGCCGGCAAAAAGCCCUGCAGGUACCACCCACCUGUCAGAGGAGGCUUGCUGGAGUCGUGUUAUGAUGCGGAACACAUGUCAACAGAGACAGACAAGGGAAAACAACCUGGCCAUCUGAAAAUCAGGGCAUGAAAACCAUCCCGUGAAACAUGGCGCACACAGCCAAUCGUGUGGAUGGCGCAGGACUGGACAGCAUCUUGUUCUGUUGUGCAUGGGGCCGCCAUGGGGCCGCAACUGCCGUGAAGUCAAGGGCCAACUUGGCUUCGUGACACCAACAACACGAGGCUGUGCGUGGUCUGAGGCCAUGACAGUCUCCCCACAUUCAUUUGACAUCACGUUUCUCUCAGUCACGGCACUACAGUCAGUCAUUGCGCCUCAGCCCUGUGUACAAAUCAAGAGCUUUGCACUUACCAAGAACCAUAGUGCAGAACACCCACGGUAUCAUGGAUCUUAAUAAAGUCCAUACUUCAAAAAAAAGUCAGUACUUUCCCACGGCUAGGAAAAUGGCAUCCUGAAUCUUACAGAAAUGCAGGAGGGAUGAAUAGUGAUCUCACAAAGAGUGUCUACAUGCUUUGGACAUGUUAUCAGGAGAGACCUGCCCUUGGAGAAGGACUUCAUGCCUGGUAAUAUGGAGGGGCAGCUGAAAAAGAGACCCUCGGCGAGAUGGCUUGACACAGUGGCUGCGCAGCGAGCGCCAGCGUGAGGACAACUGGAAGGAUGGUGCAGGCGCAGUGGUGUUUCCUUCUGGUGUCGGAUAGGGCUGCUAGGAGCCUGCACUGACUCGAUGGCACCUAACAACAACAGCAAAUCUAGACGUACAAAAGUUGUUUCUUAGGGCUUGGGCACCCACCCAGAGGCCUUCCUGUCCAUUUAGAAAGGGAGCAACUACAUCCGACCUAGUAAUUUGACCUAACAGGAAAAAUGGGCCCACAUUUACCGCUCUCUUGACAGUGCCCGAAAAGGUGUCCAUUUCCACUAUAUUACAUCACUUCUGUCUAUCCAGACUUUGCAGCGACCAAAACUUAUUUGCUAUCCCCUAAGAAGACCAUCUUUGGGUUGGGUUGAAAGUUC